rnacentral:rRNA from 1 species
GCAGUAGCCGCGGUAAAACAGAGGGUGCGAGCGUUAAUCGGAUUUACUGGGCGUAAAGCGUGCGUAGGCGGCUUCUUAAGUCGGAUGUGAAAUCCCUGAGCUUAACUUAGGAAUUGCAUUCGAUACUGGGAAGCUAGAGUAUGGGAGAGGAUGGUAGAAUUCCAGGUGUAGCGGUGAAAUGCGUAGAGAUCUGGAGGAAUACCGAUGGCGAAGGCAGCCAUCUGGCCUAAAACUGACGCUGAGGUACGAAAGCAUGGGGAGCAAACAGGAUUAGAUACCCGAGUAGUCCCUGUCUCUUAUAU